AGAGAAAGACAAAAAAGUUUUAUCGUAGUAUGGUUACUUACUGAUUUCUCAUAAAUCAAAAAGAAUGACAUAUAGAAAUAAGUUGGUUAAAUAAGCGGUUCGAUUCCGAUGAUUUCACAUUUUCACUGAAAUAUAGUGAAUUAAGUUCAUUGAUGUAUUGUAAGUAAGAAGAAAUACCUGUAUAG
rnacentral:misc_RNA from 1 species